CAUAUUCCGAUGUAGGAAGUACACUUUGGUCUGGUUUUUAAUGUUUGUUUUUUGCGAUUUUAUACUGGAUUUCUCGACAGUUUCUGGAAAAUAAAAACUGUGCUCUGGGACACAUGUGGGAGGAAGCCGAAGUACCCGGUGAGAACCCACGCAUGCACGGGGAGAACAUGCAAACUCCAUGCAGAAAGACCCUCAGCCGGGAGUUGAACCCAGGACCUUCUUGCUGCAAGGCACUGUUAUCUAUUACACAGUAAAUAUACCUAAUUGUAUAAAGAUGUAUGUUUUGAAAAUUAGGUAUGUCUUAAAGACAGAAAAUAAUUUAGUUUUUUGUUGUUUUAAAAUGUGCAUAAUCUGUAAAUAAUACUUGUUAAUAAUACUACUACAGUACUACUUCUACCAUACCAUUAAAAUUUAUUUAUUUCAGUAAUUCUAUUUAAAAAGCGAAACACAUAUAGAUUCAUUACAGAGUAUUAUAUUUCAAGCAUUUUAUUUCAAUUCUGAUGAUCAUUGAAAAUUGUAUUUCACAGGAAGUAGAAUAAUAAAUGAGACCAAAAAAAAAAACAUUAUGUCAUGUCCUACAAAGCCAUGGAGAAGACUCCUGACUUGACAGCUGUCCAGUAGAAAGUCUGAAACAUCCUCAACAAGGAGCGCAAACCACAAAAACAAUCUGUAAAGAAGUUGGCUUUUCACAGAAUGCUGUGUCUGAGAGUAAUAAUGGAAAGGUUAGUGGAAGGAAACAAUGUGGUGGAAAAGGUGCACAAAUAACAGGGAUGACCGCAAGAGGGCAGUGCGGAAAAUCCCAUUCUAGAGUUUGGGGGAGAUUCAAAAAGGGUGGACUUGGCUGGAAUCAGUGAUUCAAGAGCCACCACACACAGAGGGAAUAUGAGGUAAGGAGAAAAAUAACUGGGUGAGUAAUCAGUGGUCCAAAUUCCUCUUCUUAGUUCAAAGCAAUUAUUAUUAUAUUAUAUGGAUUUCACUCAGAAAUCAAGGUCCCAGAGUCUGGAGGAAGAGUGUCUCGAGGUCCACUGUGAGGUUUCCACAGUCUGUGAGGAUUUUAGGAGCCAUGUCACCAGUUCAAACAGGAGUUGACACCUGCCCACAGUGCCAAACGUACAACUACCUUCUUUAUUGACCAUGGUAUCACAGUCCUUGAUUGGCCAUAAAACUCACCUGACCUAAACCCCAUAGAGAAUCUAUGAAGGUUGAUCAACUCCAUCCUACGCCACAUUGAUGCAGUAAUUCAUGGAAAAGUGGGUCGCAGGGAAGGGAUCUCCAGCAGUCUAUGGUCAGGGAGUCAAACCCAGGACCUUAUUACUGCAAGGCUACCAACUGUGCCACCAUGUAGCCCACCAAUAAAAGUAUUAUUCAAUAUUCAAA